GGUAAGUACGGGCCGCGAGCGGCGGUACUACGUAGGGGGCAAGCGUUGUGCGGAUUGAUUGGGCGUAAAGCGCUGGUAGGGGGUUCGUUGCGUCGUGCGUGAAAGACCCCGGCUCAACUGGGGGGUGUCGGGCGAUACGGGCGGACUGGAGGCCAGUAGGGGGAUGCGGAAUUCCGGGUGUAGUGGUGGAAUGCGUAGAGAUCCGGAGGAACACCAGCGGCGAAGGCGGCAUCCUGGACUGGUCCUGACACUCAGGAGCGAAAGCGUGGGGAGCGAUCCGGAUUAGAUACCCGUGUAGUC
rnacentral:rRNA from 1 species